GAAAAUCCUAGCAGCCUGUUCCUCAGAUAAAGAUUCACCCCAAGUCACUUCUAGAGCUAGAACAAGGCAUGUGGAUUAUGUCUGAGAUCUGCAAUUACUUUCUGAGUGCUAUUUAGCAUUUGCAGAGCCGAAGUAGUCCGCACCUCUUUCGCCACAGCCUCGAGGGAGCACUCCUCCACGAUGCACUCCUGCAACAGUUGGCGCCCAAACUGGGACUUGAACGAACAGAGACGCGAGCAAACGGGUAAGAAGGAACAGGGACCUGAAGUUUAACCUUACUUGAAGACUGACCGGUCUGGAGCACGUUGAGAGAAACGUGGGUGCGUUGAGACAAACACGGAACAAUUUGUAAAAGAGUGCGUUGAGAUAAACGCUGCAACCUGAAGAUUCAUCUUCCCCAGCCGCUCUGAUUGCCUUUCCCUGGACCGAAGAUGGCAGCAGAAGGGCAUUCUGACAGAACGGCAGCUGACGUGGAAGUGAAGAUGGAAUUCGGCGACACACCUU
ensembl:lncRNA